rnacentral:rRNA from 1 species
GAUGAACGCUGGCGGCAUGCCUAAUACAUGCAAGUCGAACGAGAGGAAGGAAAGCUUGCUUUCCUGAAUCUAGUGGCGAACGGGUGAGUAACACGUAGGUAACCUGCCCAUGUGCCUGGGAUAACUUCUGGAAACGGAUGCUAAAACCGGAUAGGUAGCAGACAAGCAUUUGACUGCUAUUAAAGUGGCCUUGGCCAUGAACAUGGAUGGACCUGCGGUGCAUUAGCUGGUUGGUGAGGUAACGGCCCACCAAGGCGACGAUGCAUAGCCGGCCUGAGAGGGCAGACGGCAACAUUGGGACUGGGACACGGCCCAAACUCCUACGGGAGGCAGCAGUAGGGAAUUUUCGUCAAUGGGGGGAACCCUGAACGAGCAAUGCCGCGUGAGUGAGGAAGGUCUUCGGAUCGUAAAGCUCUGUUGUAAGAGAAAAACGGCACUCAUAGGGAAUGAUGAGUGAGUGAUGGUAUCUUACCAGAAAGUCACGGCUAACUACGUGCCAGCCGCCGCCGUAA